rnacentral:rRNA from 1 species
UACGAAGGGGGCUAGCGUUGCUCGGAUUCAUUGGGCGUAAAGGGUGCGUAGGCGGCGCGGUAAGUCGGGUGUGAAAUCUCGGGGCUUAACUCCGAAACUGCAUUCGAUACUGCCGUGCUUGAGGACUGGAGAGGAGACUGGAAUUUACGGUGUAGCGGUGAAAUGCGCAGAUAUCGUAAGGAAGACCAGUGGCGAAGGCGGGUCUCGUGGACAGUUCCUGACGCUGAGGCACGAAGGCCAGGGGAGCAAACGGG